GCACUGUUGUAGAGUCUCACAAUAGGACGAAACGGCCGUUCAGUGC
rnacentral:hammerhead_ribozyme from 1 species